GAGCCCGUGGCUCAAUGGUAGAGCGUUCGACUCAAAUACCAAAGGUCGCGGGUUCGAAUUCCUCGUGUUUC
rnacentral:tRNA from 1 species